AUCGUGUGCCUUGAAGGCAUUCAAGGCUUGAAUUCAAACCUUUCUUCUGAGUUCUCUUAGGUUUAUAUGUCUUGGAAGAGGGAGGAGAAAUGUGCACAUAGAAUUUCCUGGUUGAACUCCAGCAUGGGAUUUGGGUGUUGUCACCAGAAUGACAGUACAGCAGCACAUUUGCAAGUGAGAGAUCCACUGAUGGUUCUGUCCCCGGCCAGGCUGGAGGCUUUAGAAACUCAUUUCUUGUAACCAGAUCUGGCAGCAAAGGAACAAAUGGCUGUUUAAAUAUUUACCUUCUCUGCCCCUCUCAUCCCACCAUAUUUCAAACCAGAGAAGGGAACAUUUAUCCACAUGCAGCCUGGAAGAUGCUUUGUCUGG